rnacentral:miRNA from 1 species
CUCCAGAUGUUGCUGAACUACAACUCCCAUGAUUCUCAGCCUUUUAUUCAUAGAAUCAUGGGAGUUGUAGUUCAGCAACAUCUGGAG